CAACACAUGGGAAUUAUCGGAGUACAAUUCAAGAUGAGAUUACGGUGGAGACACAGAGUCAAACCAUAUCAGAUAUUAUGUCAGUUAUUGCAGAUCACAGAAAUAACCAAAUUCCAUGUCAAUUGUGUCUUUAUGCCUGUUUAAAGUCAUUUCCACAGUUAAUUGCUUAAUUCUGAUGCAGCUUCUGAAAACUUCGCAAGCACUCAAAAUCCUAGAAUAUAAUAUCUUUUAGGAAGUUUAUGAAAGGAUGGAAAGGACCCUGAAAAGCACUCUUGAAUACAGGUAAAGAAAGCAUUUCAUGGUUCACUUACUGAGGACCAUCAACCCCUUCAUAAUUUAGAACCUGAAGAUCAGAUCUUCUGAGAACAUCAGAGAAAGACUGCCCUUGGCAUCCACACUGCAGCAAAACUUCAGGACGUUGAAUCUUGGGCUCAUAGUUUCACAACUGAGAAGGGUUCAUCCACACUCUUGGAACUACAUCCAUUGGAACCCUUAAGGUAAAGCUAACCAGGGAAGUUUCUCCCCAGAAGAAGAUUGCAUCCUUGAUAUGAACAGCUUUAUCCCAAGAUCAUGGAUCAAGACUUCUCUACUAUCAUGAGACUCUUAUCUUUGAAUAUUUUUCUCUUGCUUAUGCCUCUGUGAACAAUAGAAGUGAAAAGGGGG